rnacentral:rRNA from 1 species
GACGAACGCUGGCGGCGUGCUUAACACAUGCAAGUCGAACGGUGAAGCGCCUUCCUUUUUGGUGGGUGUGGAUGAGUGGCGAACGGGUGAGUAACACGUGAGUAACCUGCCCCCUUCUUCUGGAUAACCGCAUGAAAGUGUGGCUAAUACGGGAUAUUCUGGGUCUGUCGCAUGAUGGGUCUGGGAAAGAUAUUGUUUCGGUGGGGGGUGGGCUCGCGGCCUAUCAGCUUGUUGGUGGGGUGAUGGCCUACCAAGGCGGUGACGGGUAGCCGGCCUGAGAGGGUGGACGGUCACACUGGGACUGAGACACGGCCCAGACUCCUACGGGAGGCAGCAGUGGGGAAUAUUGCACAAUGGGCGCAAGCCUGAUGCAGCGACGCCGCGUGAGGGAUGGAGGCCUUCGGGUUGUGAACCUCUUUCGCCAGUGAAGCAGGCCUGCCUCGUUUGUGGGUGGGUUGACGGUAGCUGGAUAAGAAGCGCCGGCUAACUACGUG